UACGUAGGGGGCAAGCGUUGUCCGGAAUCAUUGGGCGUAAAGCGCACGUAGGCGGCCCGGUAAGUCCGUUGUGAAAGUCAGAGGCUCAACCUCUGGAGGCCAAUGGAUACUGCCGGGCUAGAGUCCGGAAGAGGCGAGUGAAUUCCUGGUGUAGCGGUGGAAUGCGCAGAUAUCAGGAGGAACACCAAUGGCGAAGGCAGCUCGCUGGGACGGUACUGACGCUGAGGUGCGAAAGCGUGGGGAGCGAACAGG
rnacentral:rRNA from 1 species